UCCCGGGUCGUCUAAUGGCAGGACGUCAGGUUUUGGUCCUGAUUGUAGGGGUUCGAAUCCUCUCCCGGGAGC
rnacentral:tRNA from 1 species